CUAAAGGAGAAAAACAGAACGAGGGACAUGAACUGCAACUCUCGAAGCAGCCCUUCAAGCGGACACUGACCUAUGUGAAUGUGGCCUUCUCCCUGGCCUUCUUUUCCAGACAGAAAAAAAGGUCCCGGCCUCUCUGUUUCCCUGGCGAUUAUUAAUCCUCCUCAGACAAGGGGGCUUUUUGUCCUGAGCCCUACAGAUGACUCCUGGUGGAAUUAAAGUGGGGCAGAUGGGUCAUCGCCUCCUUCCUGACACCGAACUACAAUUCCCAUGAGCCUCUCCAUCGCCUGAGGCCAAAAGCAGAAACCUCACACGUGCCUAUUGAUUGGAGUGGUCACUGCACUUACAGUCUAAAUGAUUAUAGCGCUGGGAAAGCCUGGUGAGAUUUCAGAUUAUAUCGAUCCACCCCUGAAGCUGAGAGAAAGCUUCCUCCUCAAAGGCCCAUGGGAAACAUAAGCUGUAGGAUGUUGCUUUGCUUAAUGCCUUCUGGCCCACUGUAGCACAUCUUGAUCUGCCUUCUGACUUUUUUAAGCCUGACUGAAUGACUUUAUGGCUGAUUUAAGUAGUAAAUAAGCUCCUGCACUGCUUAGAAUUCACAUGAUUCAAGUUAGGGAUGCAUAAUGAUAUCAACAGAAUCGAAAAUUGCUUGAUUCCAUGAACCCGACGAAAACCGCUCAUGUAAAUCUCCUGCGGGAGGAGUAAGUUUUACGAAUUUCAGCAUAUUUUUCUGUUAUACUGUGUUUCCUAUUACUGUAUAAAAGAUGCAUAAGGCUUU